rnacentral:rRNA from 1 species
UACGUAGGGGGCAAGCGUUGUCCGGAUUUAUUGGGCGUAAAGAGCGUGUAGGCGGCCUGGUAGGUCAGUUGUGAAAACUCGAGGCUCAACCUCGAGACGCCGAUUGAAACCACCAGGCUAGAGUCCGGAAGAGGAGAGUGGAAUUCCCGGUGUAGCGGUGAAAUGCGCAGAUAUCGGGAAGAACACCCGUGGCGAAGGCGGCUCUCUGGGACGGUACUGACGCUGAGACGCGAAAGCGUGGGGAGCGAACAGG